GCCGAAGUGGCGGAAUUGGUAGACGCGCUAGGUUCAGGGUCUAGUGGGCGGAUGCCUGUGCGAGUUCGAGUCUCGCCUUCGGCACCA
rnacentral:tRNA from 1 species